rnacentral:lncRNA from 1 species
AAAACUUAAUUAUCAGUGAGGAGUAUUAUAUAAAUGUUAAAUGGAAUUGAAAAAAAAAACAAGAAAUAGAAAAAUUAUGUCCCUCGAUAAUAAAAGAUUGAAACGUAGGGAUAUAAAUGAAAAAGAAAAAAGAAAAAUGAAAAAGAAAAAAGAAAAAAGAAAAAAAGGAGCCAUGGGGAGUCGUAAUUUCAUUGAAAUCCGAAAAAUCUCUCAUCCGAGAUCCGACGACCAUCAUAGUAUGAUCGGAUCAUCCAUAAUUAUGCAUACCCCACGCAAACGCU